rnacentral:lncRNA from 1 species
CUUUUUCAGAUCUAGAUCCAAUUCUUGAAAAUUUUCUCUCACUUUUUUCUUGCAAAUUCUUCAAACACAACCCACUUUUCUUGAUCCAUUCAUCAUCUGUUAGCAUUUGUGAACAAGUUUGAAGGAAGAUCCAAAGGAAUUCGUGCAGUUUUGAAGCAGCUUGAAGCUUGAGUUCAUCCAUGGAAAAUCAAAAUUCUGGCCAAAUCGCGUGCAGUUGAGCUUCAAUUCUUCAUCCAAUUAAC